GAUGAAGAACGUAGCGAAAUGCGAUAAGUAGUGUGAAUUGCAGAAUUCAGUGAAUCAUCGAAUCUUUGAACGCACAUUGCGCCCUUUGGCAUUCCUUAGGGCAUGCCUGUUCGAGCGUCAUUUAAACCUUCAAGCUAAGCUUGGUGUUGGGUGACUGUCCGCCUCACGGCGGACUCGCCUCAAAAUUAUUGGCGGCCGGUACAUUGGCUUCGAGCGCAGCAGAAACGCGAACUCGGGCCCGUCGUAUUGGCUCCCAGAAGCUAUCUUCACAAUUUUGACCUCGGAUCAGGUAGGGAUACCCGCUGAACUUAAGCAUAUCAAUAAGCGGAGGA
rnacentral:misc_RNA from 1 species